rnacentral:rRNA from 1 species
CAAGACCUUGCGCUUUUGGAGCGGCCGAUGUCUGAUUAGCUAGUUGGUGGGGUAAAGGCCUACCAAGGCGACGAUCAGUAGCUGGUCUGAGAGGACGACCAGCCACACUGGGACUGAGACACGGCCCAGACUCCUACGGGAGGCAGCAGUGGGGAAUUUUGGACAAUGGGGGAAACCCUGAUCCAGCCAUGCCGCGUGAGUGAAGAAGGCCUUCGGGUUGUAAAGCUCUUUCAGCCGGAACGAAAAGGUUACGGUUAAUACCCGUGACUAAUGACGGUACCGGAAGAAGAAGCACCGGCUAACUACGUGCCAGCAGCCGCGGUAAUACGUAGGGUGCGAGCGUUAAUCGGAAUUACUGGGCGUAAAGCGUGCGCAGGCGGUUUUGUAAGUCAGAUGUGAAAUCCCCGGGCUUAACCUGGGAACU